UACGUAGGGUGCAAGCGUUGUCCGGAAUUAUUGGGCGUAAAGAGCUUGUAGGCGGUUUGUCGCGUCUGCUGUGAAAUUUCGGGGCUCAACCCCGAACUUGCAGUGGGUACGGGCAGACUAGAGUGUGGUAGGGGAGACUGGAAUUCCUGGUGUAGCGGUGAAAUGCGUAGAGAUCGGAAAGAACACCAACGGCGAAAGCACUCUGCUGGGCCGACACUGACACUGAGAGACGAAAGCUAGGGGAGCGAAUGGG
rnacentral:rRNA from 1 species